rnacentral:lncRNA from 1 species
GUUGCUUUGGUUUCUUGUUAUCAUUUAUGGUUCAUAGCUUUCCUUAAUUUACCAAUUUUGCCAUGUUUUAUGUUUAUUCCCUCUAUGUGUUUGAUGAAAUGCCAAUCUUAGUUAUCGGGUGGAUUUUCACCCUUUGGCUUGGGGGAAUGAGUUUAUGGAUUACUAGAGCCAUAAUGUCCAACAUUUAGUGAUAAUUCUUGGGGAGUUAGUUGAUUCUUGUUUCGAUUAAAGCUAGCCUUUUAUCAACUAGUUUAGUAAGUUGGUUAGGACUUAUGGAUUAAGGUUAAUUGUACUUGCUUGACUUACUUCUCGAUGGUUGGGGUUGACUAAGCGAGAGUAACUCAUGAUAAUUAUCAUAGUUGUGGUUAUGGCAAGGAAGGGAUUCCAUAAUUCAUCCUAAGUCAAUGUUUCUUUUAUGUUUUGAACCACCUUUCCAUUACUUUAUAGCAUUACUUGUUUAUGUUACAUACAUAGUUCUUUUGUUCUUUCAUUAAGUUUAUUAAUUUCAAAUUUUGUCUUGUUCUUUUAUUUCUUUAUUGUUUGCUUCUUUUAUUGAAAAAACCCCCUUGCUUUCUCACAACCAAAAUUGUGCACUUGUUGGCAUUAGUUCCUAGGGAGAACGACCCAAGGUUGAAAGACUCUCGAUUUAGAUUAGAAAUUGUAAACUUUGAUCGAGCAUUACUUGUUGGUUGAGAACUAUACUUGCAACGAGGUUAUUUCUCCUUUACCGAGAAGGAAUUCUUAACCGACGAUUUUGCUCGCACCAGUGAACAACUUAGCGACUAAGCUUUCUUUUUUCUUUUUCUGAGUUCUGACUGAAUAGAAAAAAUGUACGUUGCUUUUGGUGAGAUCAAAUUGGAAGGGUUUGAAUGAUAAAAGCAAUCGGGCUUGGAUCGGGUUUGAUUUGCUUGGCCUGUCUGAUUCAUUUUGCUUUACUCCUUGGAGAAUUCAGCUUGAUAGGGAUGACUUGGGCUUGGAUUAUAUUCACUUACCAUUCAGCCCUUUUUGAAUUCCUUGCUCAAUCAAUUUGGAUUUAAGUGAGUUAUAGCCCGUUUAUGUUUCUGGUUUGAUCUCUAUCCUAUUGGGCUACUGAUGCCAGAGAAUUUUGGCCAGUUUCACUGACCUUUUCUUUACUGUUUUUAGGGUAGUUUCAUGUAUUUCCUUAGGAAAUAAGCUGGUUUUGGGUAGAUAUUCACUUACAUCUUGAUUCAAGCAUGCAUUGUGCAAUUUACAUGAUUUCAUGAGGAUUUUGCAUGAAUUUAAAGACUUAACCUAGUUAACGUGGAAGCUAACGUGAAGAAAGAAGGUGAUCGCCAACGUUAGUGACACCCAACAUUGUCACUAACGUUGGAAGGAGCCCACACACGCCACCAUGAGCCACGUUAACUCCCACGUUAACUUAGUUAACGUGGAAGCUAACGUGGAUAAGGGAAUGUUGAACCAACAUUAGUGACACUCAACUUUGUCACUAACAUUGGAGAUGGCUAGCAUAGGCCACGUUAGAAGCCACAGACUCUAACGUGGGAGCUAAGGGGCACAUUGGAACGUUAGUGACAAUGUUAAGUGUCACUAACGUUCUCGAAGGUUGGCAAGCCUACGUUAAAAGAGCCAUGUUAACUAAGUUAACGUGGACUCUAACGUUGGGAAGGGGGAGGCUUCUCAACGUUAUUGGGAAAGUUGAGUCCCAAUAACGUGCGUGAAGGACAAAGGGUUUGAUAUAUUGCAUCACUCACACUAACUGUAAUUCUGACAGAUAUACUUUUUGCACCUAUUCUCUUUGCUUGUACUUAUUGGGUGUAUGACAGGGAGAAGAAGUGGGGCUUCAACUUUCUUUGAUUCUGAACCUGAGAGAACCUUCCUUAGACUAAGGAGGGAGGCAAGAGAAAAACGUGUAGUUGGUGCUGAAGAAGAGGAGGAACACUUUGAGGAAUACUUUGAACCAAACAUGGAAGAAAACAUGGAAAACCAUCAUGAAGAAGAGGCUCACAACCAUGGCGGAAGAGGUCGAGCAAAUCAUGCUGGGGAGGAUAGAAGAGUUUUAGGCUCUUACAUCAAUCCAAACCCAGGAAACUGUGGAAGUAGCAUUCAAAAGCCAACCAUCCAUGCCAACAAUUUCGAACUAAAACCACAGCUCAUCACCCUUGUUCAGAACAACUGUUCGUUCGGAAGAAGUGUCCAAGAGGACCCCAAUCAACAUCUAACCACCUUCCUGAAAAUAUGUGACACAGUGAAGUCUAAUGGUGUUCAUCCUAACGCCUAUAGACUGCUCUUAUUUCCAUUCUCACUCAAGGAUAAGGCAACCAAGUGGCUGGAAUCUUUCCCAAGGGAGAGCUUGACAACUUGGGAAGAUGUGGUGAACAAAUUCUUAGCAAGAUUUUACCCUCCUCAACGAAUUAAUAGGCUGAGUGCUGAGGUCCAAACUUUCAAGCAACAAGAUGGUGAGACUUUAUAUGAAGCAUGGGAGAGGUUUAAAGACCUAACAAGGAGGUGCCCACCCGAUAUGUUCAAUGAAUGGGUGCAGCUGCACAUUUUCUAUGAAGGGCUCUCUUAUGAGUCGAAGAAGGCCGUAGACCAUUCAUCUGGAGGAUCUUUGAACAAGAAAAAGACCAUUGAGGAGUCCAUAGAUAUCAUUGAAACAGUAGCAGAGAAAGACUAUUUCUAUGCUUCCGAAAGAGGGAAUACAAGAGGAGUAAUAGAGCUAAACAAUGUAGAUGCUCUGCUGGUCCAAAAAAAGGUCAUUACCCAGCAGCUGGCUGACCUCACCAAGAAGAUGAAGAGGAACCAAGUAGCAGCAAUCUCCACUUCAUCAACAACCCAAGAAGGAGUGAAUGAAGAAGCAGAGGGUAGUCAGGAGCAAGCCAACUACAUUGGGAAUUCACCUAGGCAAAACCAUGAUCUAUACUCCAAGACCUACAACCCUGGAUGGAGGAAUCACCCAAACUUUGGGUGGGAAAAUCAACAAGACCAAAGCCUUGAUCAAAGACGCCCAAAUCCAAACAAUGCAGCCACCCAACACUUCACAUCUGGACCAUAUCAACACCCCCAUAACAACAGCUCUCCAUAUUCAUAUCAAGGCCAGAAUAACCUUCCUCAGCCUGACCUAUCAUCAUUUGAUGAAAGAAUCUCAAAGAUUGAGAAUCUACUUGAAGGCAUAGGCAAAGAGAUUCAAGAUAGUAAAGCGUUCCGAGAAGAGGUGAUGUCCAAUAUGCAGAAUCAGGAUGCUGCCAUCAAGAAACUGGAGACACAGUUUGGCUACUUAUUCAAGCAAAUUCCAAGCCACAACCUUCGCAGCAAGACUAGCUCAACACGAAGGGAGGAGUGCCAGGCUAUCACCUUUAGAAGUGGGAAGGAACUGAAGAAAACCUCUCAGAAACCACAAGAAAAGGAAUCAGAUAAAGAGGAAGAAGAGCAAGAUGGAGCUCAAGUUCCUAAUUUGAGUUCACAAAAAGGGGAAGGAGUGCUUAAGCCAGAUGCCCCAAGAGUCCCAUACCCUCAACAAUUAAAGAAGAAGGGGGAUGACAAUCAGUUUUCGAGAUUUUUGGAAAUCUUCAAGAAACUGCAAAUCAACAUACCCUUUGCUCAAGCAAUAGAACAAAUGCCACUCUACGCCAAGUUCUUGAAGGAGCUCAUGACUAAGAAGAGAAGCUGGAAGAACAACGAGACUGUGAUACUAACCGAAGAAUGUAGUGCUAUCAUUCAGCACAAACUACCCCAGAAAUUGAAGGAUCCCGGGAGUUUUCAGAUCCCCUGUAUUAUAGGGGAGAUCACAGUGGAAAAGGCUCUUUGUGACUUGGGAGCCAGCAUCAAUUUGAUGUCGGUAGCUAUGAUGAGAAAGAUGAAGAUUGAGGAAGCUAAACCAACAAAGAUGGCCUUACAAUUGGCAGACCGAUCGUUCAAGUUCCUGCAUGGCGUCGUAGAAGAUUUGCUGGUAAAAGUGGGAGAUUUUAUCUUCCCAGCAGACUUUGUAGUGCUGGACAUGCAGGAGGAAGCCAAGGCCUCCAUCAUCCUGGGAAGGCCAUUCUUGGCUACUGCUGGAGCUUUCAUUGAUGUACAAAAAGGAGAUCUCACCCUGAGAUUACACAAUGAAAAGAUGACGAUCAAUGUGUUCAAAGCCAUGAGUUACCCACCAGAGCAAAUGGGAGAGUGUAUGAGGUUGGACUCACUUGAAGACGCAGUGUAGGAAAAUUUUGAAGAAGAAGAACCUGAAGGUAUAAUAGAGGAGGAGCCUAUGUUUAGUGAAGAGAUUGCAACAGCAGAGAUUCAAAUACAAGGUGCACCAAAGAAAGAGAACGAAAAGUCAGAAGCACCCAAACUUGAACUCAAAGCAUUGCCACCCUCUCUCAAAUAUGCAUACUUAGGAGAGGAUGAAAAUUACCUAGUAAUUAUAAGCUCAUGCCUCAGCCAAGAUCAAGAGGAUGAACUGCUCAAAGUACUGCGAAACCAUAAAGAUGCCAUUGGUUGGACUCUUACUGACUUGAAGGGGAUAAGUUCGGCCAUAUGUAUGCACAAGAUACUGCUGGAAGAUGAUGCCAAACCAUCCAUACAAUCCCAAAGGAGGUUGAACCCAAUCAUGAAGGAAGUGGUACAGAAAGAAGUUAUGAAGUUAUGGUAGGGAGGGGUAAUUUACCCGAUCUCAGACAGCCCUUGGGUCAGCCCCGUACAUGUUGUCCCAAAAAAGGGAGGAAUUACCGUGGUUCCCAAUGAGAAGAACGAACUAAUUCCUACAAGGACAGUCACAGGAUGGCGGAUGUGCAUAGACUACAGGAAGCUCAACGAGGCUACGCGAAAAGAUCAUUUCCCCUUUCCAUUCAUGGAUCAGAUGUUGGAAAGACUCGCAGGGCACGCUUAUUAUUGUUUUCUCGAUGGUUAUUCAGGAUAUAACCAAAUAGUGGUUGAUCCCAGAGAUCAAGAGAAAACCUCAUUCACUUGCCCAUAUGGAGUGUUUGCCUACAGGCGCAUGCCAUUUGGGCUAUGUAAUGCACCUGCGACUUUCCAACGCUGCAUGCUUUCUAUCUUUUCAGAUAUGAUAGAAAAAUUCAUUGAAGUUUUUAUUGAUGACUUCUCGGUAUUCGGAGAUUUCUUUCCUAGUUGCCUACAUCACCUCGCCUUGGUAUUGAAAAGAUGCCAAGAGACCAAUCUGGUCUUGAACUGGGAGAAAUGUCACUUUAUGGUGACAGGAGGAAUAGUCCUUGGUCAUAAAGUUUCUAACCAAGGCAUUGAGGUUGACAGAGCCAAAGUAGAACUUAUUGAAAAACUGCCCCCACCCAGUGAUGUCAGGGUAAUUAGGAGCUUUUUAGGGCAUGCUGGUUUUUACAGAAGGUUUAUUAAAGAUUUUUCAAAGAUAGCCAAGCCCUUAAGCAAUCUCCUUGUAUCAGAUACACCAUUUAUCUUUGAUGAAACAUGCAUGUUAGCCUUUGAAAAUUUGAAAAUGAGGUUGUCCUCUGCUCCUAUCAUUUCCCCACCUGAUUGGAAUUUACCAUUUGAAUUGAUGUGUGACGCAUCUGAUUUUGCAAUUGGGGCAAUGUUGGGACAGAGGAAAGAUAACUUAGUCCAUGUGAUAUAUUAUGCGAGCAAAGUCCUUAAUGAUACUCAAAGAAAUUAUACCACUACUGAAAAGGAAUUGCUGGCAAUAGUUUUUACAUUUGACAAGUUUAGAUCAUACCUCAUUGGUGCUAAAGUGAUUGUUUUUACGGAUCACACAGUACUUAAAUAUUUGUUUGCCAAGCAAGAAUCAAAACCAAGACUAAUAAGAUGGAUCUUAUUGUUGCAGGAAUUCAAUAUUGAGAUCAGAGACAAGAAAGGAGUGGAGAACAAGGUAGCAGAUCACCUAUCUAGGAUUCCUCAUGAUAAAGGUGGAACACCUGAUACAAGUGUGAACGAGUUCUUCCCUAAUGAGCAGUUAAUGCUAGUUCACAAAGCACCAUGGUUCGCAGACAUUGCAAACUUCAAGGCAACUGGGGCAUUGCCUCCAGAGAUCAAUAAACAUCAAAAAAGGAAGCUCAUGAAUGAUGCAAAGUACUUUGUCUGGGAUGAGCCAUAUCUAUUCAAGAAGUGUUCAGAUGGAAUCCUUAGAAGAUGUUUUUCAGAAGAAGAAAGACGAGAGGUCCUAUGGAAUUGCCAUGGCUCAUGCUAUGGAGUCCACUUUGGAGGGGAUAGAACUGCAGCUAAGGUGUUACAAAGCGGAUUCUUUUGGCCCACCCUUUUCAAGGAUGCCAAAGAACUAGUAAAGAGCUGCAAUGAAUUCCAAAGAUAUGGAAACUUGCCCAAAAGAAAUGAGAUGCCACAAAAUUUCAUCUUGGAACUGGAAUUGUUUGAUGUUUGGGGAAUCGAUUUCAUGGGACCAUUCCCAAUCUCAUAUGCAAACAAAUACAUCUUGGUAGCAGUGGAUUAUGUUUCCAAGUGGGUAGAGGCUAUUGCAACCCUAACGAAUGAUAACAGGGUAGUCAUGAACUUCCUCAAGAAGAAUAUCUUUAGCCGGUUUGGAGUCCCACAAGCGCUUAUCAGUGAUGGAGGGAGCCAUUUUUGUAACAGACCACUAGAAGCUCUUCUCCUACGAUAUGGGGUAAAACACAAUGUAGCCACGCCCUACCAUCCCCAAACAAGUGGACAAACUGAGAUAUCCAACAGAGAACUAAAGAGGAUCCUGGAAAAGACUGUGGGUGCGUCAAGAAAGGAUUGGUCGAAGAAGCUGGAUGAUGCUCUUUGGGCAUACAGAACAGCAUUCAAAACACCACUUAGAAUGUCCCCAUACCAACUAAUGUAUGGGAAGGCUUGCCAUUUACCACUGGAGCUGGAGCACAAGGCUCUUUGGGCUAUCAAGAUACUAAAUUUUGACAGCAUUGCUGCUGGUGCAAAGAGGAUCUUGCAGCUGCAAGAGAUGGAGGAAUUCAGGUCACAAGCCUAUGAAAAUACCAAGAUGUAUAAAGAGAAGGCAAAGAGAAGACAUGACCUGCAUCUUGCACCCAGGAGUUUCGAAAAGGGGCAGCGAGUACUCCUUUACAAUUCCAAAUUGAGACUAUUCCCAGGAAAACUCAAAUCAAGGUAGUCCGGACCUUUUCUUGUCACAAAAGUUUCGCCAUAUGGACACAUCGAAAUCAUGGAUGAAGGGUCAGAGAGGACUUUUACAGUGAACGGACAAAGACUCAAGCAUUAUCUGAGCAACAUGGGGGAAAACCCCAGAGUGAAUUACCAUCUCAAGUAAAGGAGGAACCUCGAGCUAGCGACGAUAAAAGAGCGCUCUGUUGGGAGGCAACCCAACCUCAGGUAGUUUCCUUUUCAUCUUUAUUUCAAUAAGGAUCGCAAGUUGUUUCCCCUGUAUUGCGAGGAGCUAAGUUUGGUGUUCCACACCAAAACAAUUCAAGAGUGAAAGUGUGAUUCUAAGUUUGGUGUUCUACCAAAAGAAUCACACUCCAUUCCAAAAGCAUAUUGCUAGCUCCAACCAAUCAAGGGAAACCACUUAGAUGUAGUUAGACUUUAGUAAUAAUUGUUGUGUUAACAACAAGAUAUGAGGUUCUCUGCAUAUAUGCAAGGUUUUGUACUAGGCAAGGAACUAAGUUUGGUGUUCACACACCAAAUUAAGUUCAUGCAAGCUAACUAUGUCGCAAGUGCUGUGGGAACAAGCAACUUUCAAUUACUUUGCAGGAAUCUUAUAAGGAAAUGGUGCACCUUCACCCAAGGAAGUGAAGUAGCGAGAACUAGGAUGAUGACAAAGAAAGAGGGCAACUAGAAAUCAUCACUCGAAGGUUGCAUUGUUACUUAAUUCCAUUAUACUCAGAAUUGUGGAAAAUUGGAAGUCCGAAUGCACUUUUGAUUAAUAGUUACUCGUAGUUGGAACCUUUUUCAAUUCCGUCUCUUAAGUUUUGUGUUGAAGAGGUCUAUGCUUGUUGGUCUUUAUGUCACUGCAUCCUCUCUUUGCUUAAGUGUAUGAUUGUCCCUUUGAAUCAAAUGAAAAAGAGAAUGAGUAUUUUUAAAGACCAGAGAGGAGUUCAUACUAUGGAGUGAGUUCAUGAGUUUAUGGUAUAGUCAUAAGUUAGCUAAGUUGAUUCAACCAUAAGGUGGGAGGACAACUAUCUGUCAUGAAUACUAUGCUUGAGACACACCCCAUGAGACUAGAUAAAUAAGAAGAUCCUAAUAAGAAAAAGGGAAAAGAACAAUAAAGGUUAAAAAAAUAAAAGAAAAAGAGUAAGCAAUAAGGCUAGGCACCAAUGAUUUUAAUCUUGAGGCAUGUGUCUGUGGUGUUCCUGUGUGAGGGAUCUACUUGGAUGAAUAAGCUCUUAGGGGUGCCUUAUCACUUGGUAACUUGGGUUAACUAACUCGGGAUUAUCAGCUGAAAGUCUACUAUCAAGAGUAACCCUCACUACAGAGCAUUUAGUAACCCAAAGAGGUGCUGGACACCAAGGUCUCAAGAAAAGAAAAUAAAUAAACUAUAUGCCUGUGGUGUGUAUGUAUGGGGGAGAGACUUGAGCAAGUAAGUUCUUAGGGGUGCUUCAACACCUAGCACCUUGAACCAACUGGUUCGGGAGUGUUGGCUGAAAGCUUAUUUUAAAGAGUUGCCCCCUUACAGAACACUUAGCCUAAGAACACAAAUAAGUCCUGAAAUAACAACAAAAGGAUCAAUCAAUAAAAGUUUCAUGGGAUGCAAUCACAGUGAGUAUUCUAGGACAUUAUAAAGGUCUGAAAGCCAGGAAUGAACCUAAGUUGCUAUACAUGAAACCACCAUAAAACCAAGGACAUGACUUCCACAAGAAUGAUUCAUUUCUCUUGGCAUUCCAUUCAUCAUUCUCUUGUUCCAGUACUUGCUUAGGGACAAGCAAGCUUUAAGUUUGGUGUUGUGAUGCCAGGGCAUUUUGGCCAGUUUCACUGACCUUUUCUUUACUAUUUUUAGGGUAGUUUCAUGCAUUUCCUUAGGGGGGAAGCCAACGUUAGUGACAUUCAACAUUAUCACUAACAUUGGCCAAGUCACACUAAGCCACGUUAACUCCCACAUUAACUAGGUUAACGUGGAAGCUAACGUGAGGAAGGGAGGUGACGCCAACGUUAGUGACACCCAACAUUGUCACUAACGUUGGAAGAAGCCCACACAUGCCACCAUGAGCCACGUUAACUCCCACGUUAACUUAGUUAACGUGGAAGCUAACGUGAGGAAGGGAGGUGACGCCAACGUUAGUGACACCCAACACUGUCACUAACGUUGGAAGAAGCCCACACAUGCCACCAUGAGCCACGUUAACUCCCACGUUAACUUAGUUAACGUGGAAGCUAACGUGAGGAAGGGAGGUGACGCCAACGUUAGUGACACCCAACACUGUCACUAACGUUGGAAGAAGCCCACACAUGCCACCAUGAGCCACGUUAACUCCCACGUUAACUUAGUUAACGUGGCUCUUACUUGGGUAAGGAACGUUAGUGAAAAAGUUGAAUAUCACUAACGUUCUCGAACCCAUAUUUUCACUGAACGUUAACACCACUAACGUCCUGAGCUAAAGUCUCUGCCCACUUCACAAUUUCUCUCUGCAAGUAAAGCCAAGCCCAAUGAAGAAGAUAACUGCUUCAAACUCAAGAUCCAAAGGCCCAGACCCAAGACUUGAAGAACCAACUAGAAGAGUAGAAGAGUAGUAUAUAUAGGAGUAACUUUGAAUUAAUUUGGGUGUUGGAAAAUAUAGGGAGCCUCUGAGUAUAGAACUACUCUCUGUAUUUUACUUUCUCUGCACUUCUAGUUUUCAUCAUGUAUUCUCCAUCUUUGUUUUCAUUUUCCAGAGCUAUGAACAACUAAACCCCUUUCAUUGGGUUAGGGAGCUCUGUUGUAAUUUGAUGGAUCAAUACUAGUUUUCAUUAUUCUUCUUCUAUCUUUUCUCUUGAUUUUACUUGAAANNNNNNNNNNNNNNNNNNNNNNNNNNNNNNNNNNNNNNNNNNNNNNNNNNNNNNNNNNNNNNNNNNNNNNNNNNNNNNNNNNNNNNNNNNNNNNNNNNNNNNNNNNNNNNNNNNNNNNNNNNNNNNNNNNNNNNNNNNNNNNNNNNNNNNNNNNNNNNNNNNNNNNNNNNNNNNNNNNNNNNNNNNNNNNNNNNNNNNNNNNNNNNNNNNNNNNNNNNNNNNNNNNNNNNNNNNNNNNNNNNNNNNNNNNNNNNNNNNNNNNNNNNNNNNNNNNNNNNNNNNNNNNNNNNNNNNNNNNNNNNNNNNNNNNNNNNNNNNNNNNNNNNNNNNNNNNNNNNNNNNNNNNNNNNNNNNNNNNNNNNNNNNNNNNNNNNNNUUCAUCUCUUCUCAUGAGCAAUUGACCAAAGAAUUGGCUAUUGAUCAAGAUUUGAGAGAUUGAAUUACAAGAAAUUGUAAUCCAAUCACUUAAGAUUGCCAAGGAGAUCAAUGAGUGCAUUGAUUGAGGAAGAGAUGAAAAUGAAAUUGAUCCGAAGAAUGCAACAUCUCUUAAGCCCAAUGAACUCCCCAUUUCUGAUCUUACCCAUUCUCUUUAUUUUCUGUCAUUUACUUUCAUGAGCAAUUCCCCCAUUCCCAUUUACAAUUCUGCAAUUUACUUAAGUAAUUUACUUUCAGUUCUUUAAUUCUAGCAUUUACUUUUUCUGUCAUUUACUUUCCCGCCAUUUUAUUAUCUGCAAUUCUAAACUCAAAUCCUGGAUUCGCUCAACUAGAACAUUCCUCUAAUUAAAGUUGCUUGAUCAAUCAAUCCUUGUGGGAUUCGACCUCACUCUAUUGUGAGUUUUUACUUGACGACAAAUUCGGUACACUUGCCGAAAAAAAAUUGUUAAGAGACAAGUUUUCCGUGCAUCAGCUGCUUCUUUCUUUCUUUUUGGCCUGCAACACUUAACCAAAACCAAUUAAAACUGAUUGGGUAAUUAGCCCAAUAAUCUAAUGUUUGUCAUCAUCAAUUAUGUUAGUUAAUUUCUUAACUCAACAAUCUCUCCCUUGAUGACAAACAUAAUUAAACAUUAACUAAAAGGAAUUGAAUUUUAAUGGAGUUGAGAAACUUCCCUUUGAAUGAUGUUUCUUGCUUAUGUGUUGCUCUCCCUUUCCUCUCUAAGAGUAGCUCCCCCUAGAUUUAUGCUCUAUUUUUGUUCCUGUUUACAUUAUACUUAUAGAGAGCACAAUAAAGAGCUACACAAAUUCAUCUUGACUAAGGGAGUUCAAACAAUCAUCACCACAAAUCCAGUCCAAUACUGAACAUAUCAUGUCAGCAACAAAGACAAAAUAUCAAGUUUAACAAUGGCAAACUAGCAACAUAUAUCUAAUAUCCAUGCCAAAAAAUCACAGCAGUAGCAAGAAAAUUGCAAAACAAAUUUUCAUGCCAAAACCAUUGUGGCAUCAGCAAUAAAAAAUCAAACAAAAUUCAUUAGCAGCAAUUAAAUUCACCCAAAAAAUUCACUGCCCAUGCUAUUACUCCGCCUUUUGUCAUCAAGGGUGGAGCAUAGUCAACAUCAAGUAAAAUCCGCACCUUAAAACCUGCAAGAAAGUGUUAAUGCACAGUCUAAAACACCAAAUUAAUUUAAAAUAAAUGCACCAGUUGUUAAGGUAUUACAGUUAUCCGAAAUAACAAAAGUAGUUCAAAGUUAACAAAAGAAAUAGUUUUUAUGAGACAAAAUGAGCAGACAGAGCAGCUUCAUGAGACAAAUCUAGGCAGCUGAACCAGUUCCAUCCGAAUCAGCUUCCUCUUCAACAUCAAUGGCAUGAUCUCCAUCUUGUUGAAGAUUAUCAAUGAAUUUCAUAAAUACAACCACUCUAUCCCUUAAUUUUCAGAGGAAAUUCUCAUGAUUGCUUGCUAGCUUCCUUUGUUUCUUAUUCAUGGCAAUCAUGUGAUUGGAUUGGGAGACAAACUCUUGGACCAUAUCCCUAACAACAUUGAACAGAGUAGAUUUUUGUCUAGUGGAGAUGGAGGUUCCUUCGGUGGAAGGUGGAGGAGAGUCCUCAGGGAAGAACUCAUCAUCUUCAUCAUCUAGAACCACUCUGUCAGAACGAGUAGGUCCUUUUACUGUUUCACUGCACCACCUCCCUUUAGAUAUGAAUUUCUAUUUUCAUAAUCCUCAUUGGACAAAUCAACACCAAAAUAUUAAAAAAUACAAGUUAGAAACAUGCCAUAAGGAAGGGCUUUGUCUUUCUCACUUCUAACAGAGUCAAACAUGUAUCUAACCAUCAAAUAAUCAAAAGAAAUUUCUGUUUUAGUGAGCAGGGCAUGAUAAACCACUAUUUUAUGGUUUAUCUUGUGCUAAAUUGAGUGGUUUUUAUUAGUUCUUUGCACACUUAUUCAUACAAACUGCAUGAUUUUACAAAUCCUUCCCAAUUUUGUUCUAUGAUUGAAAACUUGCUUCCUAAGCCUUUAAAUUGUCAAUUUUUAAUUCUCUUUUAUACCAUUCGAUGCCGUGAUCCAUGUGUUAAGUGUUUUCAGGCUUUAUAGGGCAGGAAUAGCUGAGAAGAUGGAAAGGAAGCAUGCGAAAGUGAAAGAAACACAAGAAACAAAGGAGCUAACCAGCGAGGAUCGACUUGGCACAAUUCACAGCGACGCGUACGCGUGACUGACGCAUACGCAUGACUGACGCGUACGCGUGACACACGCAGAAGACCAUUGACACGUACGCGUGAGUGACAUGUACGCGUGAUGUGCGUCACGUGCUGCAACUGUAGAAGACACUGGGGGUGAUUUUGGGCUGAGUUUAGACCUAGUUUUCGGCCCAGAAACACAGACUAGAGCUAGGGGACAAGCAGAGACUCAACACACAUUUACAUUCACUUAGUUUUAGUUUUUAGGUUUUGAAUCUUGAGAGAGAAAAGAGUACUUCCUCUAGGGUUCUUCGCAUUCUUAGAUUUUUAGUUUAUACUUUUGGAUUGGAUCUUGAGAGAAUUACUACCUCCGUUUGAAGUCUCUAUCAUUACAGUUUGUUUUCUUAUUUCCUUACUCUUUUAUCUUCCAUUCAGCUUGUUCAGAGUUACAUAUGGAUAUCUUUAAUUUUGGAAAGUAUUAAUGCAAGAGUUAUUUGUACAUUUAAAUUCAUCAGUUAUUUGAAUGUCAUCUUCCCUUAAUUUAUUAUUUCAAAAACAUUGCUUUUGCUAAAUUAAUUUUAAUUAUCAUGUCUCCUUUCUACUCCCUUUAGAUGUUUGCAAAAAUGGCAUCCAUGUCAAUGGAGUAUGCUCCUAACUUAUUUUGGAGUUGAUUAAUAGGAGACCCUUGAGUUGGAAUAAUCAAGUGUUAAUUUGUAAUUGGAAGUUGUUGGCUGACUCUCUAGUCACUAACUCUAAUCCUUCCCUAGGAGAGGAUUAGGAAUUGUGAAUCAAAGUUGGUUCAGUUACUUGACUUUCCUUUGUUCGGUAAAGGAUAACUAAGUAGAAACAACAACCUCUUACUAUUACACUUGGGGAAGUUCAACAAGGAUAGAACUUCCGAUUAAUCUUCUCCUAGUCAAGGCUUUUUAUUUUAAUUACAUAAAACCUCUCAUUAAUUUCCAUUGCUUUAAUUUAUAAUCAUUUAUUUUUCCAUUCUCCAACUCUAAAAUUUCUCAGAAAAUUCCUGAUCAAUAAAUUGCACUCUUUUGUCAACUCGUUAGGAGACGACCUGAGAAUUCUACUCCCAGUAUUUUAUUCUUAAAUUGUGAGAACUCUUUCUAAAUUGAUAAGCGUAAUUUUUGUCGGUUAAGAACUGUACUUGCAACGUUAUUUCCAUUAUAAAUUCUUAAUCGGUAAUUUUUCGCCCGUCAAUUUUUGGCGCCGUUGCCGGGGAGUUGCAACAGUGUGCUAAAUUAUUGGUUAGUGUAAAUAUUUUUAAAUUUACAUAUUUUCAUAUUUUAUUUUGUUUUAUUACCACGAGCUCUAUGUUUCUUUCAUUGAAUGACGCGUUCGUUACCGGAUCCGAGCUUAUCCGCGUUUGACCCUGAAAUCGAGAAAACUAUUUCCCGUGUUAGGCGAGCUCGGCAUCGGUUAGCCUCUGAGGGUGGUGAAGUGGUUACUACCAAAUCGCCAGUCCUAUCUGAGGGCGAAUCUGAAGCGCCAUUUGAGGAAGAAACAAGCUCCUCUUCUACUAAUUCUGUUGAUUGGCAAAAAGCAGCGUGCACGCGUACGCGUGGAUUGAAAAAUGCUGGAGCAGACGUUUGCAUGCCAACAUUGACACAAAUGCGGAUGACAGAGUCUAGGAGCAAUUUUUAACACUGCAACAUUACUAAAGCCCCAGUUAUACCCAUGGAUCAUGCAAGCAAGCCGAGCUCAUCAAUUAUCACUCAUCCAAGGCACAAGAAGGAUCUAGAUUGGGAAUUUUAAUUCAAUUAUAAUUUUCUCUUUCUUUUUUUGUAAGCCUAUAUAUAGGCAGUAGCUGGAUUGGAGAAAUCAUUCUGGAUUGGAGGGGAGUCCAGGAUCAUGCAUUCACAUCCCCUGACACACACCAUUCAUCACUCUUCUUUCUUUUCUUUUCUUUUCUUUUCUGUUUUUCUUGUAUUUUAGUUCUAGUUUGUAAUUUCCAUUAUGAAUUUGAAAUUUCAAUUCCAUUUCUAUUUCUUCAUCUUCUUCUUCUUUAUUCUGCACUUUCUUCCUCUCUAUUUAAUUAGAGCAAUGAACUAAACUAACUCUUUUCAUUGGGUUAGAGAGCUCUAUUAUUAUUUAAUGGAUCAAUUGUAAUUUUCAUCAUGCUUUCUCUGUCUUUUCUCUUGGUCUUACUAGAAAGCUUUCGAUCUUAAUUCAAUUGAAUAAUUGCCUCGACAGAGAAAUUGUUCAUAAUUGGAUUUCCUUGGAGCCUUGACAAAGGAAUGAGGAAAUCAUGCUAGAAAUUCUUUCUCACACUGGAUUAGGUUGGGGGUUGGAUGGAUAUAGUGACAUGUAAUCCUACCAAUACUUUUAUCUAUGAAUGUGUGUGGUAUAAUCAGUGACCAAGCUUCAUCUCUUCCCAUGAACAAUUAAACCAAGACAUUGGAAAAUUGUUCAAGCUUAGAGAGAUUGGUGAGCCAAGACAUUGGGAUCCAAUCACUUAAGAUUGCCAAGAAGAUCAAUGAAUGCAUUGAUUGAGGAAGAGAUGAGGAUGAACUUGAUCUGGAGAAUUUCAAUAUCUUUUGAUCCCAAUGUUCAUUUUAUUUUUCUUCAUUUAUUUUAUGUCAUUUACUUUCUGUACUUUACAUUUACGUCAAUUUACUUUUCAGCACUUUAUUGCUUUUAUUUACUUUUAUGCAAUUUUAGUUUUCUGCUGCUUAUCACUCCAAACUAAAUCGUCUAACUAGGCUAAUCUAUUAACUAUUGAUUGCUUAAUCCGUUAAUCCUCGUGGGAUCGACCUCACUCUUUAGUGAGUUUUACUACUUGAUAUGACCCGGUGCACUUGUCGGUAGUUAUUGCGCGGAAGUCUAUUUUUCUGCAUAUCAAGUUUAUGGCGCUGUUGUCGGGGAUUGAUUGUGAUUAACAAACUACCAGUUGGUUGGUUACCUAGAUUAGACAUUUUCUUUCUGUUCAUUUAAUUUCAGUUGCUUUUUAUUUUCUAUGCUCUUUGACUGUUUGUGUUAAUGCCUCACCAAGAAGCCCCUGUUUGUGACACCUCUAGCUCUUGGUGUUUGUGUUAUUAACAUAUAGAACCGUUUCUUUUAUUUAGCUUUCUUUCAAAUAAAAUUGGCAUAUAUGGUUACAUUCUAAGUUUGGUGUUGCCCUGCAACAACCCGUUUUCCAAUCUUUUUGGAUACUUGCCUCAAUUCUAAGAGAAAAUGUCACACUAAGUUUGGUGUGCCACUUAAUUUUUUUAUGCUAUGUAUUUAGCAACACCACUUGUUUAUUUAAUCAUAAUGCCUUUACUUCUUAGGCCUGUAGUGUUAUCUUUAAUUUUCACUUGCUUAACCAUAUACAUUACUCACAUUUCAGUAUUUAAGACAUUCAUGACCCAUCAUGAACCUCAUCACCACUAUUUUAAUUGUUGCUGGAGGAUAAGCAAUCAUCUUAAAUUGGUGUGGGAAGGGAGAAAAAUAGGAGAAAAAGGACAACAACAAUGAAGACGAACUACAAGGUGGUAAAGCUCUUUUUCCUCUUAUUUAUUUCCAGUAACUUAAAUUGCAUAAUUGUCUUCUAUUCUCUUUGUAUGUAUGUGUGAUUGCUCCUUGUGAAUAAGCAUAGUUUGAAUUGUGAAUUGUAACAUGCUGCAUGACAUCAUGACUGCUAUCUUGAAUUUUGUGAGUCCAAAGCAAUUUAGUUUCAUGAUCAUAAACAAAUAAGGAAGAAGUAGCAUGAGCAUAUAAGUAUUGGGAAGCUAGCAUGAUUAUUUUGUUGCUCAAUUGCGGUUGAAUUUAUUUAAAUUGAAGUUUUCAUCUAGCACAUUUUAUGAAACUUUUGAAAUCAUAAAAAUCUUGAACAAGCAAUUGCAAUUAAGGCAAGAAAGAAAAAGGGAAACAAUGAGAAAGCUGAAGGCUCUGAGUACCAAUGACAAUUCAAUUGUUAAGUACUUGUGGUGUUUAUGUAUCAAGCAAAAACCUUAAAAACAAAACACUUAGAGUCAAGGUUAGGCUCAAGUGCAAAAGCACUCGUUCAAAGCUAAAGGCUUUGAGCAUCAAUGAUUAGAGAGUCAAGAGGAUAAGAAACAAAAUGAGCUAAAAGAGUCCUCUGAUUAAAUGCUUGUGGUGCUUAUGUAUCAAGUGGUAAUACUUGAAAACAAAGCAUUUAGAGUUGUAGCUUUCAAAUCAUGGUGCAAAGCACCCAAAAAGAAUAAGCCAUAAACAGAAUGAAAAGCUUGUUCAAGGAAGAAACUUAAAAGAAAAGAUUUCAUAAAGUGAGCUAGAUAGAAGCAUCCAUCAUUUAAAUUUCUUCUGUAAUUGUUGCAUGCACAUAAAGCUAGCCAACCAUGAAUAUUACACUGCUACCCUUCUCACCUUAGUUUGUCAAACUUUAUUGCAUGAUUCUCUCCUUGCUUGGGACAAGCAAGAUUUAAGUUUGUUGCUGUGAUGCCAGGUCAUCAUAGCCUAUUUUUCUAUGCUUUUUCACUAAAUUUUAGUUUAAUUUUCAUACAAAUUUUGUUGAUAAAGGAGCAAAAGCAUGAAUAAUCUCUGCAUUAAGAAAAUCUCAAGCACGGGUAAAUUUUUUUAAUAUGCAGGGUAAAUAUGAUGGAAAUGAUCAAACUAAGUGAAGUUAUAAUUUUGAGCAUUAUUAGCACACUUAGUAGAGUAAAGAUUAUCCUGUAUGUUACUUUGAUACACUUGUUUGUUUGAAGAUAGGCUAAAUAGAAGCAGAAAAGCAGAGAAAAACAGAGUUGAAGAGCCAACGUUGAUGACAAAGUUUGAACAAAUGUUAGCAAUGAACCAAUGCUGUAAGGAAAAAUUGAAGAAGCAAUGUUGGAAGGAACGUUGGAGAUCCAACGUUAACCCCAACAUUCGCGACAAAGGAGCCUGAAAAAAAUUGCAGCCACGCGUAUGCAUCCCUCAUGCGUAUACGUGCUUGAUGAAGAAGUGGCAAACCACGCGUACGCGUUACCCACGCGUACGCGUGAAAAGGCCAACGUUGGAGGUAACGUUAGGGAGCAAACGCUGGGUCCAACGUCCGCGAUGUCAUCUGAUGAGCGGAUAAUUUAUACGCUUUUUGGCAUUGUUUUUAGUAUGUUUUUAGUAGAAUCUAGUUACUUUUAGGGAUGUUUUCAUUAGUUUUUAUGUUAAAUUUAUAUUUCUGGACUUUACUAUGAGUUUGUGUGUUUUUCUGUGAUUUCAGGUAUUUUCUGGCUAAAAUUGAGGGACUUGAGCAAAAAUCAGAUUCAGAGGUUGAAGAAGGACUGCUGAUGCUGUUGGAUUCUGACCUCCCUGCACUCAAAGUGGAUUUUCUGAAGCUACAGAACUCAAAAUGGCGCGCUUCCAAUUGCGUUGGAAAGUAGACAUCCAGGGCUUUCCAGAAAUAUAUAAUAGUUCAUACUUUGGCCGAGUUUAGAUGACGUAAAAGGGCGUUGAACGCCAAUUCUACACUGCUGUCUGGAGUUAAACGCCAGAAACACGUCACAAGCCAGAGUUGAACGCCAGAAAUACGUUACAAACUGGCGUUCAACUCCAAGAUUGACCUCUACAUGUGUAACAUUCAAGCUCAGCCCAAGCACAUACCUAGUGGGCCCCGGAAGUGGAUUUAUGGAUCAAUUACUUACUUCUGUAAACCCUAGUAACUAGUUUAGUAUAAAUAGGACUUUUUACUAUUGUAUUAGACAUCUUUGAUCAGUUUUAUGCUAUCUUAGACUUUCAUGGGGGUUGGCCAUUCGGCCAUGCCUGAACCAUUAUCACUUAUGUAUUUUCAUAUGGUAGAGUUUCUGCACUGCAUAGAUUAAGGUGUGGAGCUCUGCUGUUCCUCAGAGAUUAAUGCAAAGUACUACUGUUUUUCUAUUCAAUUCAACUUAUUCUGCUUCUAAGAUAUUCAUUCGCACUUCAACCUAAAUGUGAUGAACGUGACAAUCAUCAUCAUUCCCCCACGAACGAGUGCCUGACAACCACUUCCGUUCCACCUUAGAUUGAAUGAGUAUCUCUUGGAUCUCUUAAUCAGAAUCUUCCUGGUAUAAGCUAGAUUGAUGGCGGCAUUCAUGAGAGUUCGGAAAGUCUAAACCUUGUCUGUGGUAUUCCGAGUAGGACUCUGGGAUUGAAUGACUAUGACGAACUUCAAAUUCGCGAGUGCUAGGCGUAGUGACAGACGCAAAAGGAGGGUGAAUCCUAUUCCAGUAUGAUCGAGAACCUCAGAUGAUUAGCCGUGCUGUGACAGAGCAUUUGGACCAUUUUCACAAGAGGAUGGGAUGCAUCCAUUGACAAGGGUGAUGCCUUCAGACGAUUAGCCAUGCAGUGACAGCGCAUUGGACCAUUUUCCAAAGAGGAUAAAAAGUAGCCAUUGACAACGGUGAUGUCCUUACAUAAAGCCAGCCAUGGAAAGAAGUAAGAUUGAUUGGAUGAAGACAGCAGGAAAGCAGAGGUUCAGAGGAACGAAUGCAUCUCUAUACGCUUAUCUGAAAUUCUAACCAAUGAAUUACAUAAGUGUUUCUGUCCUUAUUUUCUAUCUAUUUAUUAUUUAUGUUCGAAAACUCCAUAACUAUUUUAUAUACUGAUAUUUACAAGGUGACCAUAGCUUGCUUCAUACCAACAAUCUCCGUGGGAUCGACCCUUACUCAAGUAAGGUUUAUUACAUGGACAACCCAGUGCACUUGCUGGUUAGUUGUAUCGAAGUUGUGAAUGAAAAACGAUUUAUUAAGACGUGCGUACAGAGUUUCUGGCGCCGUUGCCUGAGAUCACAAUUUCGUGCACCAUCAUCCCUGGGCAAAAAUUUGAUAUGACGCGUACGCGUGGGUCACGCGGACACGUCGAUUGGCAAAAAGCAGCAUGCACGCGUAUGCGUGGGAGACACGUACGCGUAGAUUGGAAAACGUUGGAGCGGAUGUUUGCAUGCCAACGUUGACGCAAACGCGGAUGAUAGAGUCUGGGAGCAAUUUUUAACACUGCAACAUUACUAAAGCCCCAAUUACACCCCUGGAUCAUGCAAGCAAGCCGAGCCAUCAAUUAUCACUCAUCCAAGGCACAAGAAGGAUCUAGAUUAGGAAUUUUAAUUCAAUUGUAAUUUUCUCUUUCAUUUUUUUGUAAGCCUAUAUAUAGGCAGUAGCUGGAUUGGAGAAAUCAUUCUGGAUUGGAGGGGAGUCCAGGAUCAUGCAUUCACAUCCCCUGACACACACCAUUUAUCACUCUUCUUUCUUUUCUUUUCUUUUCUUUUCUGUUUUUCUUGUAGUUUAAUUCUAGUUUGUAAUUUCCAUUAUGAAUUUGAAAUUUCAAUUCCAGUUCUAUUUCUUCAUCUUCUUAUUCUUUAUUCUGCACUUUCUUCCUCUCUGUUUAAUUAGAGUAAUGAACUAAACUAACUCUUUUCAUUGGGUUAGAGAGCUCUAUUAUUAUUUAAUGGAUCAAUUGUAAUUUUCAUCAUGCUUUCUCUGUCUUUUCUCUUGGUCUUACUAGAAAGCUUUCGAUCUUAAUUCAAUUGAAUAAUUGUCUCGAUGGAGAAAUUGUUCAUAAUUGGAUUUUCUCGGAGCCUUGACAAAGGAAUGAGAAAAUCAUGCUAGAAAUGCUUUCUCACACUGGAUUAGGUUGGAGGUUGGAUGGAUAUAGUGACAUGUAAUCCUACCAAUACUUUGAUCUAUGAAUGUGUGUGGUAUAAUCAGUGACCAAGCUUCAUCUCUUCCCAUGAACAAUUAAACCAAGACAUUGGGAAAUUGUUCAAGCUUAGAGAGAUUGGUGAGCUAAGACAUUGGGAUCCAAUCACUUAAGAUUGCCAAGAAGAUCAAUGAAUGCAUUGAUUUAGGAAGAGAUGAGGAUGAACUUGAUCCGGAGAAUUUCAAUAUCUCUUGAUCCCAAUGUUCGUUUUAUUUUUCUUCAUUUAUUUUAUGUCAUUUACUUUCUGCACUUUACAUUUACGUCAAUUUACUUUUCAGCACUUUACUGCUUUUAUUUACUUUUAUGCAAUUUUACUUUGCUGCUGCUUAUCACUCCAAACUAAAUCAUCUAACUAGGCUAAUCAAUUAACUAUUGAUUGCUUAAUCCAUUAAUCCUCGUGGGAUCGACCUCACUCUUUAGUGAGUUUUACUACUUGAUACGACCCGGUGCACUUAACGGUAGUUAUUACGCGGAAGUCUAUUUUUCUGCAUAUCAGGGAACUCGCUUCCUAACAGGAGGAGCAGUUGCUUAGUGUGCUGAGAAAACACAAGAAAGCUAUUGGGUGGAUCUUAGCGGAUAUAGUAGGCAUCAGCCCUCAAGUCUGUGAGCACCGUAUAUUUUUAGAAGAGGGAGCACGGCCUGUCCGUCAAUCUCAAAGGCGGCUGAACCCCACCAUUCUAGAGGUUGUCAAGAAGGAAGUGGCCAGACUGCUUGAAGCCGACAUCAUCUAUCUAAUCUCGGAUAGUGAAUGGGUCAGCCAAGUACAAGUGGUACCAAAGAAGUCUGGCGUCACAACAGUGAAGAAUGAGCAUGGGGAACUCAUGGCAACUAGAGUGUAGAACUCCUAGAUGGUGUGCAUUGAUUAUAGGUGCCUCAACCAGGCUACUCGCAAGGUUCACUACCCACUGCCAUUCAUCGAUCAAAUGCUUGAUCGCCUGUUAGGUAAAUCACACUACUAUUUUUUAGAUGGUUACACGGGCUAUUUUCAAAUUCAUAUAGCUCCUAAAGAUCAGGAGAAAACUACUUUUACAUGUCCCUUUGGAACGUAUGCAUAUAAGAGGAUGCCUUUUGGCUUAUGUAAUGCACCGGCUACGUUCCAAAGAUGCAUGAUGAGCAUUUUCUCAGAUCUUCUUGAGAACUGUAUGGAAGUUUUCAUGGAUGACUUUAGUGUGUAUAGUGAUUCAUUCAACCUUUGCUUGGAUAGUUUAGCUAGAGUAUUAGACAGGUGUGUUAGUUAAAACCUUGUAUUGAAUUUUGAAAAAUGUCAUUUUAUGGUAAAGCAAGGUAUUGUUCUAGGACAUGUUGUUUCUAAUACUGGUAUUUCAGUUGAUCCAGCAAAGGUAGAUGUCAUUUCUGGUUUACCUUACCCCUCCUCCAUGAGGAAAGUCCGUUCGUUUCUUAGUCAUGCAGGUUUCUAUCGGCGGUUUAUCAAGGACUUCAGUAAGGUAACAUUGCCUUUAUUCCGACUGCUACAGAAGGAUGUUGAAUUCGAGCUGAGUGAGGACUGCAUGGCAGCAUUUAAUAAACUGAAGAUCGCCUUGACUCAACCUCCGAUUGUGAGAGGGCCAAACUGGAGCCAUCCAUUUGAGAUAAUGUGUGACGCCUCCAACUAUGCAGUAGGAGUGGCGCUGGCUCAACGCGAAGGUAAGGACCCUUAUACUUCUAAGACCUUAGACGCUGCUCAGUCUAACUAUACUACCACUGAAAAAGAGCUUCUGGCUAUUGUUUUUGCUCUGGAUAAAUUCCGAGCCUACUUACUUGGUACUAAGGUGGUAGUAUACUCAGACCAUACAGCUCUAAAAUAUUUAUUAGCUAAAGAAGAGUCCAAACCAAUGUUAAUACGUUGGAUAUUGUUGCUUCAAGAAUUUGAUUUGAAAAUCAAAGAUAGGAGUGGUUCCCAAAAUUUAGUGGCGGACCACUUGAGUCGCCUUGAGCACCUUAAGAAUGAGUCUACUCCUAUCAAUGAUGCUUUUCCAUUUGAUAGCUUGCACGCAAUAUCUGAAGUAGUUCCUUGGUACGCACCUAUAGCUAAUUAUUUGGUUAGUCGUACCUUUCCUCCUAAUUUUAUUAAGCAUCAAAGGGACAAGCUUAAAAGCGAGUCCAAGUAUUCUAUAUGGGAUGACCCAUAUUUAUGGAGAUGUGGUGCUGACCAAAUAAUUAGAAGGUAUGUCCCACAAUCAGAAUUCCAGUCAAUUUUAGAGGCCUGCCACUCUUCUGAGAUGGUGGACAUUUUGGCCCUCAAAGAACUGCUAGAAAAAUUUUAGACUGUGGAUUCUAGUGGCUCACACUUUUUAAGGAUGCAACUGCUUUCUGUGAAUCUUGCUCCCCAUGCCAAAGAUUUAGGAAUAUAUCCAAGAGGGAUGAGAUGCCCCAACAACUUAUGUUGUUCUGUGAAAUUUUUUAUGUUUGGGGUAUUGACUUCAUGGGUCCAUUUCCGAACUCUAAUGGUUUCUUAUACGUAUUGUUAGCUGUUGAUUAUGUUUCCAAAUGGGUGGAAGCAAUUCCUACCUAUACUGAUGAUGCUAACACUAUUGUCUCCUUUGUUCGAAAUAAUAUUAUCAGUUGCUUUGGAUCACCACGAGCAAUCGUGAGUGAUCAAGGAACUCAUUUUUGUAACAGGAGAUUGACAGGUCUACUGAAGAAACAUGGCAUUGUUCACAAGGUGGCAACGGCUUAUCAUCCCUAGACCAAUAGGCAAGCCGAUGUGUCUAACAGAGAGAUAAAGCAUAUCCUGGAGAAGGUCGUCAAGCCUCAUAGAAAAGACUGGAGUACCAGGCUUGCAGAUGCGCUUUGGGCCUAUUGGACAGCGUACAAGACACCAAUCGGAAUGAGUCCCUUCCGUCUAGUUUAUGGAAAGGCUUGUCACCUCCGAGUGGAGGUAGAGCACAAAGCUUUCUAGGCGGUACAGGAAUGUAACAUGGGAUUGGAGAGAGCCAGAGCUAAAAGGAAGUUAUAACUACAGGAAUUAGAGAACCUUCGCCUAGAAGCAUAUGAGAACUCCAGGCUAUAAAAAGAGAGGGUGAGGGCUGUGCAUAACAAGAAUAUCAAGCGAAGAGAGUUUAGACCUGGGGAGUUAGUUCUCCUUUACAACUCAAGGUUGAGGCUCAUGCCAGGCAAGCUGAGAUCAAGGUGGGAAUGACCCUAUAGAGUAGAGAAGACAGAGUCAUACGGAGUCUUUCACCUGAGUCAUCCUUCAAGCUCCAAAUUCAUUAAAGUCAAUGGCCACCGCUUGAAGCUGUAUCAUGGUGAGAAAAUAAAGAACAAUAAGGAGUUGGAGAUCUUCCUCUUGGAGGAUCUACCAACAGAAGAAGACUGAGCUUGUGGACCGUCCAAUUUAAGGACGUAAAAGAAAAGUGCUAGGUGGGAGACAACCCACCAUGGUAUGAUUGUCCCAUUUUAUUCUUAGUUUUAUGUUGUUUUUAUCAGUGUUAAGUCAUAAAUUCUGCAUAAUCACCUACAUCCUGCAUAAAAAAAGAGAAGAGCUACGAUGCGCACUCGUCUAUGACGCGUACGCAUCAUGCGUGAAUGCCCAAAACAGGGAUCGAACAGAGAGUUACGUGGGAGUUGAGCAGGAACCGUGCUUUGCGCUCAAGCAAGUCUACGCAUACGCGUACCUCACACGUGCACGUCACUUGCAGUUUUGGCAACCCACGCGUACGCGUCUAGGACAGGCACGCGUGACCAUGGAAAUCGGCGUAAGUACGUGUUUGAAUAGAGAGUUGUGAUGGCCUGGCGCUGGAACUGUGCUAGAGGCACAAAAUCACUCACGCGUACGCGUGCCUGACGCGCACACGUCGUAUGCAAUUUUAGCCCCAGAACAGACUGAACAGAGAGUUGUGCGUGCACGUGGCUGGUCUCGCGCGACUAGCACGACCUACGCGUGCCAGACGCUUACGCGUCACCUUCAUUUUUGCGCAACCCACGUGUACGCGUGCGCGUCGCAUGCGCCGCAUCACUAAACCUGCGCACUGCCCAGUUUCAAUUAUUUCCUCCUCCCAAAUCCUAAUUCUCUUUCAAUAAUUCUUUCUUCUUUCUUCUCUCUUCUUCCUCUCUUCUUACUUCUUACUUCCUACUUCUUUCUUCUUCUUUUUUUAAUCUUCCUCCUCAGGUUUCUUUUCUUCCUCUCCUCUACUCUUUCAUUCUUCUUUCAUUUAUUGCAUUUAAUUAUUUUUUUCUUUCUUCUCAAUUUUAUAUUAGCUUAGUUAUUUAUGGUUUCUUUUUCUUCUUUUAUCAUACCUUUUUAUGUUGGUGUUGGAUCUUUAUUUGGGUAUUAUUUUAUUAUAUUUGAGCUUAUGGAUAUUAUGAGGAGUAAUUUGACAAUUGACUUUUAUUAUGGAUCUCAUAUAUACUUGGAUUAAUUAUUUUUAUUCCUAUUUUAACUUGAACACCAAGUGUUUGUGAAAAAGCCAACAUGGCAUUUUGAAUUCUUUUCUAUUCUAUUCCUACUACUUUAAUGCCUCUUUUUCACAACUCUUGCAAUCCAUAUGUAUUGAGUAUAUCAUUCACAAUUAUCAUCAUACAAGUGCUCAUUAUUUUCUUCCAUGUGAUACUUAUUAUUGAAUUUGAUGCUUGAGCUAUGCUUCUCAUGCCUCUUUCUUGCAUGCCAUAAACCCUCUUGCAUCUAAUUAUUAUGAAUUGCCUUCUUGAUCUUAAUUGAUGUCUUACCUACAUGUUGUAGCUACCAUGUAUUUAAGCUAUUAUCUUUUCUUUGGCAUUCAUUCUCACUUGGAAUUUCCUCCUUCUUGUUUUUAGUUAUCUAUAUUUAACAUUCUUCCUCUUUCUUUCUUCCUUAGGAUGGGUACCAAGAAAGAAAAAGAGAAGGCCACUGACAAGACACCGGUAAGGAAAGGCACUAAAAGAACCAUGGCUAGGGUGCCACCAUCUACAAGCGUCAAGCCGCCAACAAAGUGGGUAAAGAGGAUCAUCAAUGUUGAUGAAGCAGAGAAAGCCUUUCCUGCAAGGGACCCUGAAUGGUUCACUAACUAUUACUGUGAGCAGAUGUUCCCCAUCCUGGCUGAGAGGAACUACAACAAUGAGCAUCUACUCAUCCUUCCCACCCACUUUGUUGAUUUUGUGGAGCCCCGCAUCGAGAGGAGACAGUGGGGAUUCUUGAGGAGGCAGCCGCGGGAGGCCAAUCUUUCAUGGGUAGUGGAAUUCUACUCCAACUUUCACUUGCCGACCCUGCAGUCUGUCUAUGUUCAUCAAAAGCAAGUCCUUGUCUCCAAGGGGGCCAUUCAGAGAGUAUUGGAUCUUCCACCUGGCCCAGAGGGAUUGGACACCUAUCAAGAGGCCUUUCUCAGGUGCCAAACAUACCAGUUAGACUGGAAUAGCGUCCUUGGUGUCAUAGCACAACCUGGAAGCACAUGGAUCUACGGACAACAUCAGACUCGACCUAAGAGCAUAUCAGCUCCAGCACUUACCUUGGAGGCUCGCGUGUGGGCACAGAUUAUGUCCGACUAUGUCUUUCCGAGCACUCACGAGUCCACCUUCACUGCAAACAUGGCUGUUUCAUCUGGUACAUCCUUACAAAGCAACCCCUCAAUUUACCAAGACACAUCCAGAAGGCCAUGAGACACGUGCAGAUUGCGGGCAACCUAUCCUUUCCCACAUUGGUUUCGGAUAUAGUCUCUGCGACGAGAGUCUCCUAUAGAGUUGGGGAUACCAAGGCCAUGAUCCCAAGGGCUGACCAGUAUGUCCCGAAAGGGAAGUAUACCAGACCCCCAGUACCCUCUGCUAGCCGACAUCCCGGCCCAUCUUUAGACACUCCACCUACUUCUGCCCCACUAUCACCCACACCUCCUACACCAUCCACUACUUAAAUGUUCCUUCAGAUCCUUCAGAGGUUAGACCGGCAAGACCGGCAGAUGGAGCGAAUGGAGCACCAAUACACCUAUCUGAAGGAGCUCAUUGUUAGCACUCACCCACCUCCAGAAGAGAAGGAUACCCCGAACUCCACUUCACCGACCAGCACCGGGAGCCAUGACGAGCCCAACAGUGGAGGUGAUGCUUCUAGUCCCACCUUACUCCUUACUGAUGGCACGGAAGACCGUGCAAAGCCUUAAGUGUGGAGAGGUCAGUACCUGACUUCCGGAGGUAAUCUCUCUCUCUUAACACCAAUAUGUUAGUUUUCUUUUGUUAGAUAGGAUAAAUUGCAUGAUAAUAAUUGCUUGCAUGUAUGUUCUGCUUGGUUGAAUUAAUGAGUUUCUUUUCAAGACCCUAUUUUAGAGCAUUUCACUAAUUCAAAUUAAAAAUUUGUGUUAAACCUAUUUGAAGAUUGUAAUUUUGAACAUGGUUUAUAGCUAAGAACACACAACUUGGGAGAUUUUGAGCUUAAUUGCAUGGUUACAUUAUUUAACCAUGAUUUUUUUUCUUGUGUGUUUUCUUCUCUAUGAUUACAAUCUUUGGUUUGUUCCAUUCUAUAUGUCCAUUGUUUAGUGUAUAUUAAUACAUACAUGUGAUUGAGGCCAUCAUUUGAUAUUAGCUCACUUAUCCCAAAUAGCCUACCAUUCCAUUUACCUUUGUUUGCCACUUUGAGCCUUUUCAAUCCCCAUUUAUUCUUUAUAUUACCACAUCACUAGCCUUAAGCAGAAAAAUAAUUAAUUAUCCCAUUUGAAUCUUUGGUUAGCUUAAGAUAGAAAUUGUGUGUCAACUAAGUGUGGGGAAUUGUGGAAACUUAGGUUAAUGAGAAUGUGUUUUGUUUUUAUUGACAAAUUCUGAUAAUUUGGGUGCCUGCUCAUGUGAAACUAUAAAAACCAUAUGCAUUGAUAUGCUAUGCUUUUAUAAAAAAUAAAAAAAGAAAAAAAAGAGAAGAAAUAAGUGAAUAGGGGACAAAAUUACCCCAAUGUUAAGUCCAAUAAAAUUAUCAACGCAUAUGUGAUGAAAUUAAAGAAAAUUUGAUACAUGAGUAUGUGAAAUAUACAAAAGAGGAGUUAUGGGUAGCUAGGCAUGAUUUGAGAAUUAUAUAGAGUGUGUGUGGGUGUGUUAGGUGAGAACUUAGGUUAGUCAAAGAUUUAAAUUAUAGCUCACUUGGCCAUACAUAUAUCCUCACCCUUACCUUAGUCCCAUUACAACCUUGAAAAGACCUCAUGAUGUUUGCAUUUGUACACUAGAUAUUUGUUGAUUGGUUAGAUAAAAAACAAAGUUUUAGAAAGCAUGACUAGAGGAGACUAGAGUGGAUUAACCCUAGGCACCUGAGCGAUUAGAGUGCAUAUACACUUCCAGUGAGGGUUCAAUGCUUGAUUCUGUGUUCCUGGCUUUCAUGAACUAUCUUCUUAUAAGUUUACUUGCCUCUUUUUGUGUGAUUUGAAUUAGUGGAAUCUGAAUUUUGUUUGUCUUGGAGAACUUGUUCAAUUUUAACCAAGUAGGUAAAAACAUCUUAGCAUAUAGUUGCAUUCAUACACAUAGGUUGCAUUGCAUGAGUCUUACUUUCUCCCAUUCAAUCUUUUGGUCUCCUUGAGUUUAGCAUGAGGACAUGCUAAUGUUUAAGUGUGGAGAGAUUGAUAAACCACUAUUUUAUGGUUUAUUUUGUGCUAAAUUGAGUGGUUUUUAUCAGUUCUUUGCACACUUAUUCAUACAAACUGCAUGGUUCUACAAAUCCUUCCCAAUUUUGUUCUAUGAUUGAAAACUUGCUUCCUAAGCCUUUAAAUUGUCAAUUUUUAAUUUCCAUUUAUACCAUUCGAUGCUGUGAUCCGUGUGUUAAGUGUUUGCUUAUUUGCUUACUCUUUUAUCUUCUAUUCAGCUUGUUCAGAGUUACAUAUGGAUAUCUUUGAUUUUGAAAAGUAUUAAUGCAAGAGUUAUUUGUACAUUUAAAUUCAUCAUUUAUUUGAAUGUCAUCUUCCCUUAAUUUAUUAUUUCAAAAACAUUGCUUUUGCUAACUUAGACUCAAUGAAAGCUGUCGUUCACGUCAGGGUCCGAAGGAGAUAUAGUCACUUUGAGUCUUUCUUCUAGAUUGGGUUGGUGGUUAGUAAGGAAAGUCGGGUGUGGCGGCAAGAAGGUCAUAGCUCAACGAAAAUCCAUCCAGAAAUGACAUAGUAAGAAUCGCACUAAUCCGUGACCAGCAAGUUUUCCGAAACCAAACUGAAUAGAAUUAUGACUUUCAAAAAAUGCUUGCUGAAAAUCAAAGAAAGAAGGUCCAUUUUCCCACGU